UAUCCUCUGAAUGAGAUGGCCC
rnacentral:piRNA from 1 species